rnacentral:tRNA from 1 species
AUUUUAUAUAGUUUAAAUAAAACAAUACAUUUUCAUUGUAUAAAUAAAAUAUUUUUUUAUAAUUAAUUG